GUCUGACGGAGCACGCCGCGUGAGUGAUGAAGGUUUUCGGAUCGUAAAGCUCUGUUGUUAGGGAAGAACAAGUGCAAGAGUAACUGCUUGCACCUUGACGGUACCUAACCAGAAAGCCACGGCUAACUACGUGCCAGCAGCCGCGGUAAUACGUAGGUGGCAAGCGUUGUCCGGAAUUAUUGGGCGUAAAGGGCUCGCAGGCGGUUUCUUAAGUCUGAUGUGAAAGCCCCCGGCUCAACCGGGGAGGGUCAUUGGAAACUGGGAAACUUGAGUGCAGAAGAGGAGAGUGGAAUUCCACGUGUAGCGGUGAAAUGCGUAGAGAUGUGGAGGAACACCAGUGGCGAAGGCGACUCUCUGGUCUGUAACUGACGCUGAGGAGCGAAAGCGUGGGGAGCGAACAGGAUUAGAUACCCUGGUAGUCCACGCCGUAAACGAUGAGUGCUAAGUGUUAGGGGGUUUCCGCCCCUUAGUGCUGCAGCUAACGCAUUAAGCACUCCGCCUGGGGAGUACGGUCGCAAGACUGAAACUCAAAGGAAUUGACGGGGGCCCGCACAAGCGGUGGAGCAUGUGGUUUAAUUCGAAGCAACGCGAAGAACCUUACCAGGUCUUGACAUCCUCUGACAACCCUAGAGAUAGGGCUUUCCCUUCGGGGACAGAGUGACAGGUGGUGCAUGGUUGUCGUCAGCUCGUGUCGUGAGAUGUUGGGUUAAGUCCCGCAACGAGCGCAACCCUUGAUCUUAGUUGCCAGCAUUYAGUUGGGCACUCUAAGGUGACUGCCGGUGACAAACCGGAGGAAGGUGGGGAUGACGUCAAAUCAUCAUG
rnacentral:rRNA from 1 species